GGUCCAGGAUAGGCGGGGAGUUAGGCGUGCCCUUGCACCCUCGGGUGUACCCGAAACCGUCUAUAUGCGGGGCUGAAGUCCGGAGGCGGCGCCCAGUCCGGGUGUGAAGCUCCGGUCCGACGAUGAGGCAUCGGCCAUCGGGAUCGAUGCAGGCGACCGGACGUGACCGGAGGGACACGUCGAUCGCCUUCAUCGUGGGGAGCGGGCCAGGCCCGGAAGGGAGCAGUCCAACCACGAGCGUUCGAUGCUCGGUGGGGCCCGGUGCCGAGAACGGCCAGAGGCACCACUUCUCCUCCGGCUGUGCGUCCACUCCGGAUGUCCUGGACC
rnacentral:SRP_RNA from 1 species